UGGGCCCGGGGCGGGCAGGGGGCGCGAGGGUGCCCGCGGCCGCAGCUGAAGUUGGACCGAGAGCCGGCGACGACCCCGCGCCGGGGUCGCAGGUGACGCGCGAGGGAUCCCAGGGUACCGGUGUGCGGAGUUCCUGUUGCCAAGCCGAAGGUGGCCCUGGGCAGGCACAGGUGUUGUGGUCAUAUCUUGAACCAACAGGACCAUCCUCCUGAGGGCCACCUCUGGGGACUUCCUCCUGGAAGAGAGUGAGGGAUUUGGUGCUUCUGUGUGUGUCUGCUGCUUCAGUGGGGCCACUGCAGGAAUCGGCGCAUGGACCCUCCAGCGGCCUGUCUGCUGAGCCUGCCUUCUGAAGUCCACUGUGAAAAUCAGGACCAGGGCGAGUCCGAGCCUACAGGCCCUGUCCCCCCUCCCCAGGUCUGCAGGAGUUGAGGGCUGCACCCACUCGCUGGAGAGGGAGAGGCAGAUUUAGUGGACGCCUGGCAUGGACUCGAACUGGUCUUUGGAAGCUCCCUGUCCUGACGGGGUUGCCUGUCACCACUGCGUACCAAGGCUUGGCAGGACCUGCACCUGGGAAAGGCUGUGUGUGGCCUUGGGGUCCACACCUGCAGAGCUGACUUACUGCCAGACGGUGACUUACUGUGGGCCACGCUCAGUGAACCAGGAUGUCCUCAGCUGGCCCUACAGAGCACUUCUGUGCUAGGGAUGAGUAGGAACUCUGGGCGAGAAGGGCGCCAGCACUGCCCCGCGAUACAGCCUGGCUCUGCCCUCUGCCCAUACUUAUACCAGGUGGGAUCUCUGCCCUGCAUCGCCUGGGGAUUGGCUGGGCUUGGGUCCGCCCUGCUGUGGAACUGUAUGAUUUUAGGGAGCCCAGCCUUUCCUCACGUCAGCACAGUUCACAAUAUAGUUUUCAAAGUAUAGUUUAAAACUCAAAAGUAAACUUUUCAGCAACUCAAAGGUUUGCUGAGUGA